rnacentral:rRNA from 1 species
AGCGAACGCUGGCGGCAGGCUUAACACAUGCAAGUCGAACGGGCACUUCGGUGCUAGUGGCAGACGGGUGAGUAACGCGUGGGAACGUACCUUUCGGUUCGGAAUAAUUCAGGGAAACUUGGACUAAUACCGGAUACGCCCUUCGGGGGAAAGAUUUAUCGCCGAUAGAUCGGCCCGCGUCUGAUUAGCUAGUUGGUGAGGUAAUGGCUAACCAAGGCGACGAUCAGUAGCUGGUCUGAGAGGAUGAUCAGCCACAUUGGGACUGAGACACGGCCCAAACUCCUACGGGAGGCAGCAGUGGGGAAUAUUGGACAGUGGGCGCAAGCUUGAUCCAGCCAUGCCGCGUGAGUGAUGAAGGCCUUAGGGUUGUAAAGCUCUUUUGUCCGGGAAGAUAAUGACUGUACCGGAAGAAUAAGCCCCGGCUAACUUCGUGCCAGCCGCCGCGGUAAAAC